AGUGAACGCUGGCGGUAGGCCUAACACAUGCAAGUCGAACGGCAGCACAGUAAGAGCUUGCUCUUACGGGUGGCGAGUGGCGGACGGGUGAGGAAUACAUCGGAAUCUACUUUUUCGUGGGGGAUAACGUAGGGAAACUUACGCUAAUACCGCAUACGACCUACGGGUGAAAGCAGGGGAUCUUCGGACCUUGCGCGAUUGAAUGAGCCGAUGUCGGAUUAGCUAGUUGGCGGGGUAAAGGCCCACCAAGGCGACGAUCCGUAGCUGGUCUGAGAGGAUGAUCAGGCACACUGGAACUGAGAAACGGUCCAGACUCCUACGGGAGGAAGCAGUGGGGAAUAUUGGACAAUGGGCGAAAGCCUGAUCCAGCCAUACCGCGUGGGUGAAGAAGGACUUCGGGUUGUAAAGCCCUUUUGUUGGGAAAGAAAAGCAGCAGGUUAAUACCCCGCUGUUCUGACGGUACCCAAAGAAUAAGCACCGGCUAACUUCGUG
rnacentral:rRNA from 1 species